rnacentral:rRNA from 1 species
GAUGAACGCUGGCGGCGUGCCUAAUACAUGCAAGUCGAGCGAACAGACGAGGAGCUUGCUCCUCUGACGUUAGCGGCGGACGGGUGAGUAACACGUGGAGAACCUCCCUAUCAGACUGGGAUAACUUCGGGAAACCGGAGCUAAUACCGGAUAAUAUAUUGAACCGCAUGGUUCAAUAGUGAAAGACGGUUUUGCUGUCACUUAUAGAUGGAUCCGCGCCGCAUUAGCUAGUUGGUAAGGUAACGGCUUACCAAGGCAACGAUGCGUAGCCGACCUGAGAGGGUGAUCGGCCACACUGGAACUGAGACACGGUCCAGACUCCUACGGGAGGCAGCAGUAGGGAAUCUUACGCAAUGGGCGAAAGCCUGACGGAGCAACGACGCGUGAGUGAUGAAGGUCUUCGGAUCGUAAAACUCUGUUAUUAGGGAAGAACAAAUGUGUAAGUAACUAUGCACGUCUUGACGGUACCUAAUCAGAAAGCCACGGCUAACUACGUG